rnacentral:rRNA from 1 species
UACGAAGGGGGCUAGCGUUGUUCGGAAUCACUGGGCGUAAAGCGCACGUAGGCGGAUCUUUAAGUCAGAGGUGAAAUCCCAAGGCUCAACCUUGGAACUGCCUUUGAUACUGGGGAUCUUGAGUCCGGGAGAGGUGAGUGGAACUGCGAGUGUAGAGGUGAAAUUCGUAGAUAUUCGCAAGAACACCAGUGGCGAAGGCGGCUCACUGGCCCGGUACUGACGCUGAGGUGCGAAAGCGUGGGGGAGCAAACAGGG